GGGCGGAUAGCUCAGCGGUAGAGCGUCGCCCUUACAAGGCGAGGGUCACAGGUUCGAUCCCUGUUCCGCCCA
rfam:Stigmatella aurantiaca DW4/3-1, complete genome.